AUUGAACGCUGGCGGCAGGCCUAACACAUGCAAGUCGAGCGGAUGAAGGGAGCUUGCUCCUGGAUUCAGCGGCGGACGGGUGAGUAAUGCCUAGGAAUCUGCCUGGUAGUGGGGGAUAACGUCCGGAAACGGGCGCUAAUACCGCAUACGUCCUGAGGUAGAAAGUGGGGGAUCUUCGGACCUCACGCUAUCAGAUGAGCCUAGGUCGGAUUAGCUAGUUGGUGGGGUAAAGGCCUACCAAGGCGACGAUCCGUAACUGGUCUGAGAGGAUGAUCAGUCACACUGGAACGGAGACACGGUCCAGACUCCUACGGGAGGCAGCAGUGGGGAAUAUUGGACAAUGGGCGAAAGCCUGAUCCAGCCAUGCCGCGUGUGUGAAGAAGGUCUUCGGAUUGUAAAGCACUUUAAGUUGGGAGGAAGGGCAGUAAGUUAAUACCUUGCUGUUUUGACGUUACCAACAGAAUAAGCACCGGCAAACUUCGU
rnacentral:rRNA from 1 species